rnacentral:ncRNA from 1 species
GCAACCUGAAGCUCGCGAGCAACCAGCGUGCGGUGUUCCUGAGCCUGCUGGGCAUCUCGUGGCUGUGGUUCGUCGGCGCGACCUUCCUCACGUCGUUCUUUGCCUUUGCGCGCAACGUGC